AAGCUGGCAAAGUUUCAUUAAUAAGUGAGUGUAACACUUGGGUAGUUCUCCAUAUUAGUCGAAACGAAUCGCAGGUGGUCCUUUAUCAGUCAGAGAACUCGACGUCGGUGAAAUCGUGCAUUUCCAGUCGUUGACGAUCGUCGACGGGGGGUAAGACGAUACCCCUAACGUGGCACGAAGAGGCCAGAGGAGGAGGAGAUCGAUAGAACAAACGGGGGAGGGUGACGCCACACCGGAAACCAAGGCUGGUGUCUGGCUUGGAAUUCUGGAAAACUGGCGAACCGUGAUGGUUGCGGCGGUUUUGUCUCAGAAAGCGAAGUCGCGCGGAUCCGGAUGCCGCGAAGAAAAGGGGGAGGAAACGAAGUGAGCUCGCAGACGAGCCGCGAAUAGGGUAGAUAAAGGCAGAAACGAGGAGGCCGAGGAAAUCGGGAAGGAGCAAGGGAUGGGUCGACGACGGAAAGUGAGGAAGGAAGGGAAGUUACUUAACGUCGUGGCAAAAUGGAACGGUAACUAAUUCUGACUAGACCGGCUGAUUUAUCGGCUUCUGGUUCUUCAUCGUUGCCUUUCAACGCACCACGCUCGUAUAACUUCAUUCACGUCCCAAGUAUUCUGUUAGUGAUUUCGCGUUUCUCUUCCUGCGAGCUACGUUUCAUCUUCCGUUCUUUCAAUAGUCAAUGAGUAAAAUUAUUAUUUUUCGUUAUGCAAAGUAGAAAUGACCAACUUAUGUUAACAUCCACGUGUAUUUGGAUACUUGCUGGAAUCAGACUCAAAUGAUUGUUCAAUAUUUUGUUGGACAUUUUUGAAACAUGAAAAUUUUUCAUUAUAAAAUUUGAGUAGCUAAUUUUUCUUACAUAGACAUUGUGUAUAGGUACAAAGGGAGCUAAUAACUUUUCUUCCUGUCGUCGCUGGCGAAGUGUCGUUACUUCGUUUCCUUAUUCCUUCCACUCAAAUUUACUCCUGUUUUCCUCGAUUUUUGUUUUGCCACCAAGCCCGUUCCUCAACUUUCCUACUAGGAAUAAAUAUUUUGAUUGAUAUCGUUUUCAUCGUUCGAUCGCAUUUCCAUUAGCUGAUGAGCUCGUCGAGCGAACGGUCCUCCCGAUUGGAUAGGAAACGAACAGAAAGGGGGCAGAAGCAGGAAGAACCGGAGAAGAAAAAUAAAAAAAGAAUCCAGGCUUUGUGUACCGGUUGACAAGUUCCAACGACGUUGUGCUGCGGCACGAUGCGUUAAACAAAAUGAAAUAUUUAACCCUUUUAGCUAGCGCUUUACCAGAUUAACGGAAAUUGCUAGUCUUACACGGGGGAUUGUGCAGAAAAUAGCACGGAUAAUGCAAAUGAACCGGUGAAUUGAUCUUCCAAAUAGAAGUGGAGAACUAAUGAUUAGAAUAAGCAUUCAGGGGGGUCUAAAUGGAAGGUGCAAGAAGAAGGGCAUCAUUAUAACGUGUCACCGAAGAAAAUUGCCAAGGGGGAAGUUACUUUAGUGCUGUGUGCCACUUAAAAGAUCAAAGCAGUCCUUGGUUUCGCACAUUCUAGCUAGGAGAACGUGUAGGAAACAUUCAAACGACGUGUUCUCCUCCUUUACGUGCUUGCAUCGAAUCGAUAACUCCAUGUUACGCGCUCGUUGUCCUCUUACGGACGGUGCGCUGACCUCUGACGAGUUUCCGAAGCUGGGACAUCCAUCAUCUCGGAAGUCCGUCAGGAUAGGGGAGAGGCUCGUCUAUCAAGGGACCGAUUAGCGACGAUAAAGAUCUCGAAAUGAAUGGACCGUGCCACUCGACCGGCUCAUUGUCCUCCCGAGCGUGCAACGACCACCCUCUGCUCCGCCGCACAAUGCUUCACCCUCUAUGUUUUUGCUAAACAAGAGUGAUGCUCGAAAUUAUUAACCCUUUUGUCACGGAAAACACCAAUAGACGUUCAAUUUUCUGCUUCGUUUUUUGAGAAAAAUUAAACAAUUAUUAAAUUGUCAAUUAACUUACUAUCAAGGAAUUAAUUUGUUACAGAAUUACUUGAAUUUUACUGUCAAGAAAUUCAAAAAUUAUUAAGUCGAACGGUGUUCAUUUUCACUAAAGAUGUUCUUUUACUGAAUUUUAAUUAAUAUUUUUAAUAUUCCCGUAAAAAUUAUAUUAUUAAUUUUAAAUAGACGAUCGAAGCAUUAAAUUAAUUCAUUCCAGAGUAUACCAUAAUGUCUAUUUCUAUUUAUGUAUCUGGUAAAUGGAAAGGUUUAAGGAAUCAAUUACACAGUACACAAAAAUUGUACACGAUAUCGAAGUCUUAUCAAUCAAUUUCCCAAUAUUUACUACAAACAUUUUCCACACUACACCGAAUACCAGCCACAUAAAUUUACUUUAAUCGUGACAGCUAAUGAAAAUGGAUUACCGUUCCUGCUUAAGCAAACAAUUUUCACUCGAGUUCACUGAAUCUAUCUUAUCUGUCCAAACUUUCAUAAAAGUCCCAUUUCAUCCCAUUGUUAGUAUUUUAAGUAAUACAAUAAUUAUUCGUUGCUGAGAGAAGAAAUGUAAGUUGUACUUAGAAAAUUUAUAGAAAGUUUUUAAAAUAAACCUUAUCCUUUCCAUUUUCCUUUGAAGGGAAACAACAUUCUACAACACUCUAUAUGUGAAUUGAAUAAUCCAAGUGUAAUAAA